UAAAGUCUUAGCCCACCUGAGCCCAAUCACAGGUGCGCCCCGACAGUAUAUAUUCGCGAGAAAGAAAUACUAAUUAGGGCUAGGGUUUCGAUCGAUAAUGGUGAGGACGAAACGGAGUGAACGAAUUGGUCGCAACCAUAAAGCUCCUCGAGUGCAGUUGUAUUAUGGUGAAGCUUGGUUUGAUCUUUACGACCCUCCUAACAAAACUCUACCUACUGAUGAAUUGAAUAGUCUUGUUAUUCUCGCUCAGUUGGCCAUUUACCACUACAACGUCAACCAGGGUACCAAUUAUGAGAAUGUCAAGGUGCUCCAGGCAGAAAGGCGGUCUUGUUAUUAUAAGUAUAAUAUCGUAUUCGAAGCCUCGUUGUUACAUGAUAACAGUGCAGUUGAAAUCUUUAAAGCAGAAGUCGUUACCUCUAACCCUGGGUGUCGGACUAUGAAGUCGGUGGAGAUUAAGUCUGUCAAGAUCAACUCUCUACAAUCAUCUGAUGAGUCAGAUGAUCAAGUGUUUUGAAAUUCGUAUUUGGAGAUUAUAGGUUUCGAGUGAUGAAAGCCUUCAACAAGUAUAGUUGUGUGAGAUUUGCAGUUGGAAGGAUAUAUUACAUCAUAUAAUUGAACAUAUGUGUAGGUUUUUUUAAUUUUUUGUUUGAUUCUCUUUUUUAAAAUUUGUUUUCUUUAGUGUUCUGGUUCUAUGAUGAAUUCGUAUUUUAUGAUAAUUAUCAGAAACACCUAGUUUCAGUAAUGAGUGAUAAUUAAGCUAAACGACAUGAUUGAUCAUGCUUGAUUUUGUGUUUAGAUCCCUACAUUAUGCAUGCUGGAAUCAUUUUAAUGGUCUUGUUUUGUGUUUAUAUAUGUUUAUAUAUGAAUGUGGAUAGAUUCAGCCAUUCAGGGAGUGCUGUAGUAUAUGAUGUUAGGUCUGAUUCAAUUGAGCUGAUUUUGCUUAAAGUUUUUCAACUUUAUCUGGCCUUUUAUGGUUGCUGGGGUUGAUUUAAUGGUUUUUUUUUUUUUCAUAAUUUAGGAUUAUACGUUUCACAAAUCUUGUAUGGUGGGUUUAUCCUCUGUUGUCCCGGGAGACCCGGGUUCGACUCUGGCUCAUCCGAUAAGUAUUAGGACAGAUUCUAAUUUGUAAGGCAUAUAAGCCUGCAUUGUCAAAAAAAAAAAUUUGUUCACCCCUUCGCGAUUGUUAUUACUGGUAAAGCACAUGAUGGUCGGAGAAACCCUUCUCGAGUGUGUGGUGACUGAGAGCAUGCUCCUCCUCCUCAAAAAGACUAAUCCCAUCCCCAAACCGCCCUUGUCUUCUCAGUUCCUUUUUCUUAUCAUUUUCUCUAAAAUUGCGUUUGGUAUGGUGGCUAUAAAUGAUUUGUGCUCAAUGACAUGACUUGUCUUGAUCACAGAAACUACCUGUAGCUUGUAAGUAAGAUAGAUUGAGUAGAACUGUGACAGGGGAUCUCAAUAUGCAAUUUUGUUUAUAUGGUUGUAAAUUAUGUGGCUGGGGGGAAGUCGAUUUUGUAAGGCUGGAUCGCAGUACGAGUCCUUUCUUCAAUUUCUCGAAGCCAGAGACAACUGCUACAAGGUGGAACCGAGUCUCCCGUGUGCUCCCAAGAUGCGAGAGCACAGAAAUUGGCUCUUCAGCAGUCCAAGUAUUUUCUAGGAGCAUGCCAGGAUAGCUUUUAAUACGAAGGAGCAUGCCAUUAUCACUUUGUUAAGUGAUUUAGCAAAAGAAAAAAUUGUGUGUUAAGUGACCAUUUCUCGUAAAAUCUCAAGGUGUUGUGAAAAGGGCUUACCAGGAUCAUAUUGUAUUCUAACACACUAUUACGUUUCUGUAAUAUCUAGCACUUCAUGAGGGACUGAUAUCGUUUGUCUGGAAAAAGGAUGAGCAGAUGCCAUGGUGGGGAAUGCUUUUGGCGUUAUUCUUAGAUUGGAUUGUCACCCUUCCAGCCGGAGUUAUUCAAGCAACUACCAACCAGGAUCUCCGUUUUACUUGAGUCGGCCCUGCUCCUAUCUUCAUAGACGGCAGAUUAACAGGAGACAUCAGGCCUGCUAUUAUCUUCAUAGACGGCAGAUUAGCGGGAGACAUAAUACUUUCUUUUGGAAGUUUGAAUAAGUUUAUGCGUGCAAGAAUCGUAAACUUUUCGAGGGUGUCAAGACUCAAAUUAUUAUUGAGAGAUGAGAUAUAUAUAC